rnacentral:rRNA from 1 species
GACGAACGCUGGCGGCGUGCUUAACACAUGCAAGUCGAACGGAAAGGCCCUGCUUUUGUGGGGUUCUCGAGUGGCGAACGGGUGAGUAACACGUGAGUAACCUGCCCUUGACUUUGGGAUAACUUCAGGAAACUGGGGCUAAUACCGGAUAGGAGCUCCUGCUGCAUGGUGGGGGUUGGAAAGUUUCGGCGGUUGGGGAUGGACUCGCGGCUUAUCAGCUUGUUGGUGGGGUAGUGGCUUACCAAGGCUUUGACGGGUAGCCGGCCUGAGAGGGUGACCGGCCACAUUGGGACUGAGAUACGGCCCAGACUCGUACGGGAGGCAGCAGUGGGGAAUAUUGCACAAUGGGCGGAAGCCUGAUGCAGCAACGCCGCGUGCGGGAUGACGGCCUUCGGGUUGUAAACCGCUUUCGCCUGUGACGAAGCGUGAGUGACGGUAAUGGGUAAAGAAGCACCGGCUAACUACGUG